UACAAACUCUGCUUUAAUUCUUAAACAAAGAAUUGCAUUGCUGCUAGUCUUUGUGCUAAUUAUGUGGCACAAGAAAGAUCACCGGCUAACACUCCCAUCAUGCUGCUCUAUAAGGGCAUUGUGAAUAAAUAAUCCCAUAGACCUGUCUGACAAAAAAACUAAAACACAGGUGUAAUUAUGGCUGCGUCCCAUCAAGGUUUUAAGCCAGUUUAUGUGCACUGCUAUUGUACAUGGUUGCAAAGAGCGGCUUCAAGUGACACUAACUGGAACCCAGCCAUUAUUAACCAAAUUAGUUACACAUGCUUUCCUUGCUGUUACAAUCAAAUCAAAAUGACUACUGUGGAAAAGUUCGUUUGGUAGCUGUUACUCUUCGUCAUUCUUUUUAUUUUAUUUUAUUUUUAUCAGUUAUAAGUUAAGCAGGCAGAAAAACAAACUUAAAGCCAGAAGUUGGUGUUUGCUAUUAUUAUGGGACCUCGAAUUGACUGUAUGACAUCUUCACAACAACAAGAAUUUGAUUGGUUGGCUGGGUGGACCCAGGAAAUGGUUCAGUGGCUGUGUAUCUGAGAAUCGUCUCCACAGAUAUGAGUCCUCCUGAGGUACAGCCACUGGAUGAAGGAUGGACCUUCGUUGCAAGUCAUCUACUUUAAGUGUAGGGUCUUCUCUUG